UAAGCGACAAACUAUAGUCCACACUUACACUAGGUAGCCGUGUCGGGGGUGGUCCAAGGAACAUUUUUCUCUAAGGGUUCAUGGUCAUCCGUUCAACCCUGAGCUUGCGCAAAGCCGAAACAUCCGGCGACGCCGGAAUCCUUCGAAAUCUCAGUUUUAACGGUCAACGCAUGCUACGAAACUAUGACAGAAGCAUUGUUUGAAUGAAUGAAAAACGCGACGCCGAACGUCAACAAACUAAAAUGGAAGCAACAGUGAGGGGUUGCGCUCUCCCAACAAGGUGUUUUUACUUGAAAAUAUGUUUCAGAUCAAGUGGAAGGGCUGCGAGGAUUCCGGAAACUCCUAGGAACCGGAGGAAAAUCUCAACUGCCAGAAUCUUCUGGAGAAAAUUGCGCGCGAGGAAGGCGGGAGAGAACACGUGGAGGUAGUUACGUUUGGACUUUAUGGAGGGAAGCAGUUGGUCGGCGCACAGGGUCAGCGGAAUAGACGGUUUGAGGUUCGCCUGACAGGGCCAGCGGCAUCGUUGGCGGAUUUUCUCCGGAAGAGCCAACGGGAAGGACAGAACAGGGAUGAAUUAGCCUUUAUGAAGCGGUUAUCUUCAGCUUACCUGAAUACUAUUCCUAUUUGUGAGAAACAUACUAAAGAAUAUAGUUUUUUUUUUAAUUUAUUUUGUAGACCAAUAAAAGUUAUUUUAUUCUUUUUAUGAAUAUC